CGCGUAGGCGGCUUGGUAAGUCAGAUGUGAAAGCCCGGGGCUCAACCCCGGAAGUGCAUCUGAAACUGCUUGGCUUGAGUAUGGGAGAGGGUAGUGGAAUUCCUGGUGUAGAGGUGAAAUUCGUAGAUAUCAGGAGGAACACCGGUGGCGAAGGCGACUACCUGGACCAAUACUGACGCUGAGGCGCGAAGGCGUGGGGAGCAAACA
rnacentral:rRNA from 1 species